CACAUUUGCAGCUCCAGGAUGUGCCCUUCUCUCAAAACUCUGUGCCUUAGUUGUGCCCUGUGACUACACACCUUUCUUUUACUUCUGGCCAGCACCUCCUGAGAGAUAGAAGAAAUAGGAGAGGAGAGAGCAAGACAUUUGUCAGCUGAAAAGCAGAUAGAAGGGAAGAAACAUUUUUAGCAAACGAGAAAUCCCAAUCUUAAACCAACAGCAGGAAAAACAGAACCAACCUGAUUUACACAGCACAAUACUCAAAAGGCGCCACAAAAGGAACUAUAGGUACCUCUAGAAUGGAAGGUAAUUGGCUAAAAUAAGGAGUCUUGGUAAAAACUGAGAAUCAGGAAGAUCCAUUGUUCCCUCUACAUCUGGAGAAUAUUUCCUCUAGAGAGGGAAAAAGAAACAAUCUUUGCAUUAGAAGUUGACUGGCCCGCCGGGCGUGGUGGCUCACACCUGUAAUCCCAGCACUUUGGGAGGCCAAGGCAGUUGGAUCACCUGAGGUCGGGAGUUUGAGACCAGCCUGACCAACAUGGAGAAACCCCAUCUCUACUAAAAAUGCAAAAUUAGCCGGGUGUGGUGGUGCAUGCCUGUAAUCCCAGCUACUUGGGAGGCUGAGGCAGGAGAGUUGCUUGAACCUGGGAGGAGGAGGUUGCAGUGAGCAGAGAUCAUGCCAUUGCACUCCAACCUGGGCAACAAGAGUGAAACUCCAAAGAAGUUGACUGGCCCAGCUGAGGGCAGGGAUACUUUUAUCAAAAAUAAUUGGAGUCUGAGGGUAAGUGAUCAUACACAUACUGAAUAAUGAAUGCUGACACUCUAUAAAGGCUGGCAGCAACACCUUUACCUGCUAGGCAGGCAACAGGAAAUGUAUUCUCUGGGGGAAUCUAAAUAGCUCAAUAGGAAAAACUUCGAAGAUACCAACAUUGAAAGUCUCCUACAAAUAGCCCAAUGAGAUCACUCUUCAGUGAUGCUCUAAGUUGACAGGCCCCAUAACUACUCCCAAAGCUUCCAGUCAGCUUUCAAAUCCCACUGCUAAUCAUGAAGAGACAUCUAACGAGUAACAUAUCUGAGGAAAGCAUCUAACAUGGAAGAGAUACCAAAAUAGAAAAACAAUUUGGAAGAAACAAAAACCAGCAGGGGGAAAAAACUUAUAAAGUAAACUGUCACUAAUAUUUUCAGAGAGAUACAGGAAGACAUUGCAUCCAUGAAACAAGAACAGGAAGCUGUUAAAAACAGAAACAAUCAGAAAACAGAAAAAGAACUCCUAGAAAGUAGAGCAAAAUGACAGAGAUGAAAAGUAGGAGCAAAAAUCAAAUCCAGGUCAUCCAAUAUUCAAACAAUGGAAAUUCCAGAAAGAGAAGACACAGAAUACAGAAGAAAGGAAAUCAUGGGUGAAAUAACUCAAGAAAAUUUCCACACCAGAAUGUCAUGUUUCCAGAUUGAAAGUCCCCACACAGGAUGAAAACAAACACAUGCUAUUACAAAUCUUUUUUUUUUUUUUUUUUGAGACAGUGUCUCACUCUAUCACCCAGGCUGGGGUGCAGUGGCACGAUCUUGGCUCACCCGCAACCUCCACCUCCUGGGUUCAAGCAAUUCUUGUGCUUCAGCCUCUAGAGUAGCUGGAAUUACAAGCACAUACCACCAUGCCGGGCUCAUAUUUUUUUUGUCUUUUUAGUAGAGACAGGGUUUUGCCAUGUUGGCCAGGCUGGUCUUGAACUCCGGACCUCAAAUGAUCUGCCCACCUUGGCCUCCCAAAGUGCUGGGAUUACAGGCGUGAGCCAUGGCACCUGGCCACUGUUACAAAUCUUUACGUUAUUUCAGAACACUGGAGAUAAGAUCCUAUAUAGUCUUCAAGGAGAGGAAGAAAACAGCUCAUUCAUACACAAAAGAUUAGACAAAUCAGCGCUUUGGAAUUCUCCACAGCAACACUGGAAGCUAGAAGAUAAUGAAGCAAUGUCUUCAAAAUUCCAAGAGAAAAGUUUUCUAAUCUAUACUCAAAUUAUCUGUAAAAAUUAGGGUAAAGUCUUAAAAAUAGGUUAGGCACGGUGGCCCACACCUGUAAUCCCAGCAAUUUAGGAGGCCGAGGUGGGUGGAUCACCUGAGAACCUACUCUGUAUAUUCACCAAAAUGAGGGAAUAAAUCAAGAAAGAGGAAACUGUGGGGUAUAGAAAACAAAAGAUACAACCCAAAGGAGAAGCAAAGGAAAUCUUUAGGAUUACCACUGUGCAAUGAGUUUAAAAAGGUAACUAGUACAGACUAAAGCAACAUGACUCAAGAAGCAGGCGUUUUGAGGUCUGUCUUCACAAUGUUUUCUGCUGUGUCUUCCUUUUAACCUAAAGGAACUACUGGAAAAUAUGCUUCACCAACACAAGAAAAUAUACCAAGAAAGAGGAAGGCCUGAGUCUCAGGAUAUAAGGAAUACAUGCCAGGAGAAUGGUAAAGGCAAUUCCAAAUUUGAGAGCAAGAGGAGUCCAAGGAUAACACUACAGCAAGUCCAGAAAGCACCAGCCCCAUAUAGAAGUCCCCAGGAGAGAGGGCUCAAAGGAAAACAGUUAGAAUGGCUAGAUUACCCAGUAUGGGUGGUCUAUGGGAAAAUGUACUGAGACACUAUUAUGGGAAGACAUGGGAAAAAUUAGCAAUAAUUAAAAAAAAGCACCAACCACAUGAAAAAAAUCAAGGCAUAUUUUACCCGAGGGAAAAAUAGCAAGGUAAUAGAAAACAAGGAGAGCCUGAGAAACUGUCACAACCAAGAGCAGAAGGAGUCAUGACAACUCAGUGUAUCCUGGAUGUGGUAUCCUGGAAGGGGUCCUGGAACAGAAAAAACGCAUUAAGCAAAAACAAAUGAAAUCUGAGUAAACAACAGACUUUAGCUAAUAAUAAUGUCUCAGUAUUUAUUUAUUAGUAGUAACAGGUGUACUAUACUAACAUGUUGAUAGAAGAAAUGGUGCAGGGUAUAUGAGAACUCUAUAUGUAUUACCUUCACAUUUUUUCCGUAAAUCUAAAACUUCUAAAACAGUUUAUUUUUUAAAAAAGGAAGAAAAUCACAAUACACUUCAACUUUUAGCUUUGAAUAAUAUUUGCAUAGGCACAAUAAUGCAAACACUGAUUUAACAAAAAGAUUGCAAUGUAACUACAUUGAAAGGGUGGGGAAGAAAUGUGUAAAGCAGAGAGAUGGCAGAGUGAGAGAACCAAACUCAUUUACCAUAAAAAA